UGUGGUACACUUCGAUUUUCCC
rnacentral:piRNA from 1 species